AGAGUUUGAUCCUGGCUCAGGAUUAACGCUGGCGGCGUGCCUAACACAUGCAAGUCGAACGAGGUAGCAAUACCUAGUGGCAGACGGGUGAGUAACACGUGACCAACCUACCCCGUAGUGGGGGAUAACUAGCCGAAAGGUUAGCUAAUACCGCAUGAAACGCGCCCUGGCAUCAGGGUACGUUGAAAGGAGCAAUCCGC
rnacentral:rRNA from 1 species